CCUACGGGAGGCAGCAGUGAGGAAUAUUGGUCAAUGGGCGGAAGCCUGAACCAGCCAAGUAGCGUGAAGGACGACUGCCCUAUGGGUUGUAAACUUCUUUUAUGCGGGGGAUAAAGUUCGCCACGUGUGGCGUUUUGCAGGUACCGCAUGAAUAAGGACCGGCUAAUUCCGUGC
rnacentral:rRNA from 1 species